rnacentral:rRNA from 1 species
CCCUUAGAUGUUCUGGGCUGCACGCGCGCUACACUGAUGCGCUCAACGAGUUUUAACCUUGCCUGGAAAGGUUGGGUAAUCUUUUUAAAACGCAUCGUGAUGGGGAUAGAUUAUUGCAAUUAUUAAUCUUCAACGAGGAAUUCCUAGUAAGCGCGAGUCAUCAGCUCGUGCUGAUUACGUCCCUGCCCUUUGUACACACCGCCCGUCGCUCCUACCGAUUGAAUGGUCCGGUGAAAUCUCGGGACGGCGGCUUGGUCGCUUGCGUCCGACUGCUGAAACUUGAUUAAACCAUAUCAUUUAGAGGAAGGUGAAGUCGUAACA